GUUUUAGAGUUGAGAGGUUUGAACUCGGCUACCAUUAUUUUUUGGGUUUGAGGGGUUUAUCCUCUAAAAUAUAGAGCUCUGAAAUGGCGAUGGGUCUCCUUCAGUCCGGCUGCUCAGUUUCCUUCGCACGGGCUUUACGGUCUCGCACUUUUACAACCAUCUCCAGCACGGUCACAGUACCCUCACUCAAGAAGGCUUCUCAAAUGGAGACGCGCUUCCUCCUUGGCUUGUCUGAGGAACAACUUCAGCAACUUUCCCUCGACUUUGGUCAGAAAAGUUUUAGAGGUAAACAACUAUAUCAUCUCCUCUACAAGAGAAAAGUCAAGGAAAUUCAGGAAUUUAGCCAGCUGCCAUUGGA
rnacentral:misc_RNA from 1 species